rnacentral:rRNA from 1 species
CAGCACCACGGUAAUACAGAGGGUGCAAGCGUUAAUCGGAAUUACUGGGCGUAAAGCGCGCGUAGGUGGUUCGCCAAGUUGGAUGUGAAAUCCCCGGGCUCAACCUGGGAACUGCAUCCAAAACUGGCGAGCUAGAGUAUGGUAGAGGGUGGUGGAAUUUCCUGUGUAGCGGUGAAAUGCGUAGAUAUAGGAAGGAACAUCAGUGGCGAAGGCGACCACCUGGACUGAUACUGACACUGAGGUGCGAAAGCGUGGGGAGCAAACAGGAUUAGAUACCCCAGUAGUCCCUGUCUCUUAUACC